rnacentral:rRNA from 1 species
UACGGGGGGGGGCAAGCGUUUGUUCGGAAUUACUGGGCGUAAAGGGCGCGUAGGCGGCCUUCUAAGUCGGACGUGAAAUCCCCAGGCUUAACUUGGGAACUGCGUCUGAUACUGGAAGGCUUGAGUGCGGGAGAGGGAUGUGGAAUUCCAGGUGUAGCGGUGAAAUGCGUAGAUAUCUGGAGGAACACCGGUGGCGAAGGCGGCAUCCUGGACCGACACUGACGCUGAGGCGCGAAAGCCAGGGGAGCAAACGGG